AUGGCUGCAAGACUUGCUGCCUUCUUCAGGAAUGCCUGGGCCAAGCAGCCAGUGCUGGCUGUGUCCUUCACCAUUGCAGGCCAUGCUAUAAUUCUGCCCCCACUCAGCCCCUACACCAAGUAUGCCAUCAUGAUCAACCAGGCCACACCCUACAAUUACCCAAUGCCUGUCUGAGAUGAUGGGAGCAUGCCUUAUGUGUCCAGCCACCCCCAGGACUCCUAGGGCCCAACCCUGGAGUGGCUGAAGAAACUG
rnacentral:lncRNA from 1 species